rnacentral:misc_RNA from 1 species
GUAGGUGAACCUGCGGAAGGAUCAUUAUCGAGUUUUGUUGUGGGUUCGAUGCUGGCCUCCUCGGGGGCAUGUGCUCGCCCCGCUCAUCCACUCAACACCUGUGCACUUUUUCUUGUGAGGUGCUCGAGCCGCGUUCCCCGCGAGGGAGACGUGGGUCCGUGCCUUGCAUUUUACACACAAACCCUUCAAAGUACAGUAGAAUGUGAAAUCAUAAAUUUAAUACAACUUUCAACAACGGAUCUCUUGGCUCUC